rnacentral:lncRNA from 1 species
GUCUCUGCCUCUGUGUGUCUCUCACGAAUAAAUAAAUAAAAUCUUUUUUUAAAAAAGCUGAAAUUUUAAUGCAAAAUAAUAUUUCAGGUGAUGGAUAAGAUAGGAUCCUGGGGUGGAAUAACAGUGUGCUUGGGGGUCAGAUUUUUCCUUUGUGGAACCAAAGUCAAUUUUACUUUGCUGUUGCAAGAAUAGUGAGGGGAGGGGGGACAAUCAUAGAGAUUCUGCACCAGCUGGUGGGUCUGACUCAGAACUACUUUUCAGGGCCAGUGACAGGCACAUCCCCCAGGCCUCACUGCCAUCUUAAAGGUCUCACAUGCCACCUAGUCAUUGCUGUCAGCCUCUGGCUGUGGUGGGGAGACACAAGAACUGACCGGGAGAUGUAAUCCCAAGCACUGACCAUCAGUAGCCGGCUUGAAGGCAAAACACCAAACCACAUGAGAUGGGAGAAGGUGUCACAAGUGAUUAAUUCACGAGACAAAAUGUUAAGACCAACGAAAAUAUCCCCAAACUUACUUCACUCUCUGAGGCUGCUGUGAGAAGCAAAUGAAGCAAGUGGAGCAAUCAAGCAUAGAAGCCUCCAGGUGUCUCCAAAACGGGCCCCUGAUUGUGCCUCCAACGCCGAGACAUCGGAGCAUGCGACACCUGUGGGGGAGACGGAUUGUAUUUCAGGGAUUAAGAGCCUGGGAGUAAAACCAACGUGCGUGUCCCGGGAAUGCGCCCCGUCGCUGAAUCGUGCUGGAGCCUGGCUCAGGACCGAAGAAGCUGUUUUCUGGAGACCUUGCAACUGGCGCCAGGAGGUCCCAGCAUUCCACCCACUACUCAGAGGCCUUCUGGAAGCAUACAUGUGCCUGCUUCCUGAGGGGAACAGUAACACGUAACAAGCUGAGCACCCCUCCCCCACCUCACACUCAAAGUCACCAAGAGAUGACAUUUCUGGAGCUCACAGGCAAGUUCUGGAGCUAGGUGGCCUGGGUUCAAAGCCCAGCUCUGCCACUUAAUGGCUGUGGCACCCCGGGGCAAGCCACCUACCUGGUGAGGCGUCAGUAUGUGAGGCAUGGCAAGCCCGGCAGACUCUGGAGGCAGAGGGUAGUGAACAUGGGGGCAGCUGCAUUCCUUUGAUCACCACGCCACUUCAAGCGGACUGUUCUAGAACAGUGUUGACCAGCAGAAAUAUAAUGUGAGCUGCAUAUAAAAUUUAAAAAAUUUUUCUAGGAAGCUUAUUUCAAAAAAUAAGAACAGUUGGCACUAAUAGUUGUUAACCAAAUGUACCCCAAAUAUUGUCAUAAUGUAAUGAAUAUAAAAAUAUUACUGAAAUAUUUUACAUAUUUUUGGCACCUAAAUCU